UGGGGAAUAUUGGGCAAUGGGCGCAAGCCUGACCCAGCAACGCCGCGUGAAGGAAGAAGGCUUUCGGGUUGUAAACUUCUUUUAAGAGGGAAGAGCAGAAGACGGUACCUCUUGAAUAAGCCACGGCUAACUACGUGCCAGCAGCCGCGGUAAUACGUAGGUGGCAAGCGUUGUCCGGAUUUACUGGGUGUAAAGGGCGUGUAGCCGGGCUGACAAGUCAGAUGUGAAAUUCCGGGGCUCAACCCCGGACCUGCAUUUGAAACUGUUGGUCUUGAGUAUCGGAGAGGCAGGCGGAAUUCCUAGUGUAGCGGUGAAAUGCGUAGAUAUUAGGAGGAACACCAGUGGCGAAGGCGGCCUGCUGGACGACAACUGACGGUGAGGCGCGAAAGCGUGGGGAGCAAACAGG
rnacentral:rRNA from 1 species